CCUAAGUGUACCUUACCUUACUCCACAAGAAAAAAUAAGACGGCUUGCGUUGAAAACAUACACAGUGAAAAAAUAUGACAGAUGAGAAUUAGGAAGAAUACUGUUGAAUAGGAAAUCAGGAUCAUCGAAAACAAGAACAAAUAUUCUGGCUGCAAAGACCUACAGAGUUCUUAAAAUUAGGUUUCACGUUUGAUCCUGAGCUUCCUGACCACCAAAGCAAAAAGAGAGAUGGGGCCAGACAUUGUUCUGGACAUUGUGAAGACAGCUGAAAACAAGCCAGAUAAGGAGGAGGGACUUUAAUAGGUGUUCAAUCAAGUUUGACCUGGCAGGGCUUCCCUGGUGGUGCGGUGGUUAGGAAUCCGCCAGCCAGUGGAAGGGACACGGGUUCGAGCCCUGGUCGGGGAAGAUCCCACAUGCUGCGGAGCAACUAAGCCCGUGCACCACAACUACUGAGCCUGCGCUUUAGAGCCUCUGAGCCACAACUACUGAGCCCGUGUGCCACAACUACUGAAGCCCGCGUGCCUAAAGCCCGUGCUCUGCAACAAGAGAAGCCACCGCAAUGAGAAGCCCAUGCACUGCAACGAAGAGUAGCCCCCGCUCUCCACAACUAGAGAAAGCCCGCGCACAGCAACAAAGAC